GAUGAACGCUAGCGACAGGCCUAACACAUGCAAGUCGAGGGGUAACAGAUGAAGAGCUUGCUCAGAUUGCUGACGACCGGCGCACGGGUGAGUAACACGUAUGCAACCUACCUUUUACAGAGGGAUAGCCCAGAGAAAUUUGGAUUAAUACCUCAUGGUAUUAUUGAUAGGCAUCUAUUAAUAAUUAAAGGUUACGGCAAAAGAUGAGUAUGCGUCCCAUUAGCUAGUUGGUGAAGUAACGGUUCACCAAGGCAACGAUGGGUAGGGGUCCUGAGAGGGAGAUCCCCCACACUGGUACUGAGACACGGACCAG
rnacentral:rRNA from 1 species